rnacentral:rRNA from 1 species
AUACGUAGGUGGCAAGCGUUAUCCGGAUUUAUUGGGCGUAAAGAGAACGUAGGCGGUUUCUUAAGUCUGAUGUGAAAGCCCCCGGCUCAACCGGGGAAGUGCAUCGGAAACUGGGAAACUUGAGUGCAGAAGAGGACAGUGGAACUCCAUGUGUAGCGGUGAAAUGCGUAGAUAUAUGGAAGAACACCAGUGGCGAAGGCGGCUGUCUGGUCUGUAACUGACGUUGAGGUUCGAAAGCAUGGGUAGCGAACAGGAUUAGAUACCCUGGUAGUCCAUGCCGUAAACGAUGAAUACUAGGUGUUGGAGGGUUUCCGCCCUUCAGUGCCGCAGCUAACGCAUUAAGUAUUCCGCCUGGGGAGUACGACCGCAAGGUUGAA